UCGAGAAUUUUUCACAAUGGGCGAAAGCCUGAUGGAGCGACGCCGCGUGGGGGAUGAAUGGCUUCGGCCCGUAAACCCCUGUCAUUUGCGAACAAACCUUGCUAUUUAAAAGAUGGCGAGCUGAUGGUAGCGAAAGAGGAAGGGACGGCUAACUCUGUGCCAGCAGCCGCGGUAAUACAGAGGUCCCAAGCGUUGUUCGGAUUCACUGGGCGUAAAGGGUGCGUAGGUGGCGGGGUAAGUCUGAUGUGAAAUCUCCGAGCUUAACUCGGAAAUGGCAUUGGAAACUAUCCUGCUCGAGGGUUGGAGGGGGGACUGGAAUACUUGGUGUAGCAGUGAAAUGCGUAGAUAUCAAGUGGAACACCAGUGGCGAAGGCGAGUCCCUGGACAACUCCUGACACUGAGGCACGAAAGCUAGGGGAGCAAACAGGAUUAGAUACCCCCGUAGUCC
rnacentral:rRNA from 1 species